rnacentral:misc_RNA from 1 species
AAACUGCGAUAAGUAGCGUGAAUUGCAGACGCUUUGAACGUUAAACUUUCGAACGCACAUUGCGCCGUAGGAGUCCUACCCUACGGCACAUCUGGUUGAGGGUCGUGAUCAAAAACAGCCGCACAGUAGCUGGAAUAGAACGAAUUGGUGAAUCACGAGUCCGGCCCACCCGUACUCGGGCCGUACGUGUUUUGCCAUUGUGCUCUAGAGGAUAGCGGGGCUCUUCGGAACCUGCGGCUACCUGCCACACGGACGGGCUAUCAGCUGAGGCGAUAGAUUCCGGCCUUAGGGUAUCAUUAAACCGCAUUGAGUGUAUACUUGGUUGGACCGGACCGUUGGAAUCUCGCCUGUGCCGUACGUGCCUGGCAGUGGUUGAUCGAAUUCCCGACCUCAACUCAGG